CAGAGUAAGGACAGCGCGUCAAGUGCCGGCGGAUGGGAUGUUGCCACCGGACGAAAAGCCCGGGAGGCUUGCGUUGCUGAUUCUGCGUCCGCUGC
rnacentral:ncRNA from 1 species